rnacentral:rRNA from 1 species
GAUGAACGCUGGCGGCGUGCCUAAUACAUGCAAGUCGAGCGAACAGACGAGGAGCUUGCUCCUCUGACGUUAGCGGCGGACGGGUGAGUAACACGUGGAUAACCUACCUAUAAGACUGGGAUAACUUCGGGAAACCGGAGCUAAUACCGGAUAAUAUAUUGAACCGCAUGGUUCAAUAGUGAAAGACGUUUUGCUGUCACUUAUAGAUGGAUCCGCGCCGCAUUAGCUAGUUGGUAAGGUAACGGCUUACCAAGGCAACGAUGCGUAGCCGACCUGAGAGGGUGAUCGGCCACACUGGAACUGAGACACGGUCCAGACUCCUACGGGAGGCAGCAGUAGGGAAUCUUCCGCAAUGGGCGAAAGCCUGACGGAGCAACGCCGCGUGAGUGAUGAAGGUCUUCGGAUCGUAAAACUCUGUUAUUAGGGAAGAACAAAUGUGUAAGUAACUAUGCACGUCUUGACGGUACCUAAUCAGAAAGCCACGGCUAACUACGUG